CAGCUUUAUGUUCUGGUCAGCCGCCACCGGUGUGCUUCAAUAAAGGCUUGAUUCGAUUAUACGUGAGUGAUCUGGAAGUCAGUUUAUGAAACCCUGGGAUGAAGCUUUAACUAUAACAUGUAUAUACAUGCAAAUGUACCAUAUAUAUGUGUAUACAUGCACAUAUCAUUUUUAGGAUUCCAAAUCCACGUUUCAAAUUUUUAUUUAUUACUGUUUCUCAGUGUGUCCUUUGUUGUUGCAAUGAUUCAUUAAAUCAUCUCUUAUUUGCAAAGCCAUUCAGUCACACAUCUGUAUUCCUUCAAGGAAAUCUUGUUUUUUUUUUUUUUUUUUUGGUACUGGGGAUUGAACUCAGGGGCACUUGACCACUGAGACACAUCCCCAUCCCUAUUUUGUAUUUUAUUUAGAGUCAUUGAGUUGCUUAGCACAUGGCAGUUGAUGAGGCUGGCUUUGAACUCAAGAUCCUCCUGUGUCAGCCUCCCAAGCCGCUGGGAUUACAGGCAUGUGCCACCAUGUCCAGCAUAAGGAAAUCUCUUAUUCCCAAUAAAAAUUUACACCAAAAUUGAAACCUGAUUGUAGGUGUUCUGACCAUGGAAAUAGACAGGGAAGUGUUCCCCUGGUGAGCAAACUCUGUGGGGUGGGGGUGGGGUAGCUGGCACCCUGAUUCCCACUAUUGGACAGCCCAGCCUCCUCCCUCUGAGGGAAUAAGACAGCUAUGUAGGCUCUAUCUGGUUUCCUUAGCAAUGUCCUUGAAGAGAAGGGCUCUGUGUUUGUAUUAACCUGGACCUUAUCUCAGCUAGCUAGCACUCAGGUUAAAGAAAUACUACUUUGAAUACAGUCAUGGUAAUGAAAGUAUGUGUUCUUAAACUCCCAGGCAGCGGGGAGUGGACACUUCACUUCUCCACCACUUCACCUCACUCCUCUCUGCUCCUCCUGUCUGUCUGCUUGCACUGUGUGUGUGUCUGUGUCCAUUCUUUUGUAUGCCUCCUGCACAGGCAUUCUUCUACAGGUGUUCCUUUACAGCCAGCGCUCAACAUUGGGGCACCAGACCCCACAUGUCCUCCCAGUCCACGGAGAGUUUGGGACAAGGAAGUCAGCCCAGACAGAGACCCUUCCAGACAUUCGGAGAGGGUUCCACCAGACCCAGGAUGACAAGACCCUAUGCCUCUGACCACAUGGGGAAAAGGAUAGUCUGCUGUGCUCACACCAACAGAUCCUACUUGGACUCCAGCUUCAUGCAUGAGCUCUAUCCAUUGUGAAUGGACAUCGGGAACUUCACACCUUGAUUCCCAAGUUGCAUUUGAUCCUGGAUGAGGAGAGUCCCACCAAACAAGAGGAAACUCUCCUCAAAAGAGAGGAAGCAUUAAAGAAGGACAGAUAAGAGACAUGAAAAGAGGAUCCCAAGCUUCUAGACUUCCAGUGAGUUGGGGACAUAUAAAAUCAUUAACAGCCUCAGCUCUACAGCUGUUGGCUCAAAGGGGCUUAAAAUGUACUCUGGAAAACUUAGUUACUGCUUUGUUUGCUAAACUUACAUCAAACUCUGUAAAUGUUUUGAUCCUUGUGAUAAUGUUAUUCUGCUGUUGUACCCCACUUGUGCGAAACAUAGUUCUAAGUCAGACUCCUGGAGUUUUAGAACCCAUUAUAAUAUUUAGGUUCGCUUGGUGAAAAUUGUUAUAUACCUGCAAGAAUGUCGCAGCAGAUUAACUGUGUUCUCACCAUCCUUGCAGGAUUUAAUGGGCCACCAUCAUGCACAACGUAUUCAUAAAAGGUCUAUUCCCCUUGAUGAAAACUGUGAUGAUUCAGUACAUCGUCUCUCAAAGGCAGAAUUUGACGCUUUGACAUUUUCCAUAGUGGGUUUCCCUGGACUAGCUGUCGGGGCUUACAAAACCACUAUGAACCUGGCCUGUGCUGUGGUAAAAAAAGUACUAAUCCUACCUCUCUGGCCAUUAAUAUGCUUAAUGAAGAACAAAAACAACAUCGCCAAGACAUUCUUGAUAACCAGGCUGCUAUUGAUUAUUUGUUGUUGUUACAUCAUAAAGGAUGUGAGGAUAAAACACAUAAAGGAUGUGUUGCUUCAAUUUAAGCGAUAACAGUAAUUCUAUUUUAAGAGCAUUAAAUUACCUUAAAUAUAUCAUUAGAAGGUCCAGCAAGAUGAUGAAGGUUUAGACUUGUUAGAUUGGUUAACUUCAUGGUUACCCAAUUGCAUCUGGUUCAAACAAUUAUUCAUAGGUGGAAGUUUGCUGCUAUUGGGAUUGUUGUGUUGCACUUGCUGCUUGUCAAUGCCUGCCCUAUAUUUCCCCUUGCUAGGAUUAAGAAGAAAACAGGUAUUUUUCAUCCAGAAGGCCUUAAAAAACAAAGGAGAGCUGUAGGUAUUCAGACCAUGGAAAUAGACAGGAAAACAUUCUCCUGGUGAGCAAACUCCCGGGGAUAACUGGCAGGGUAACUGGUGCCCUGAUUCCCACAAUUGGAAUGCCCAGCCCCCUCCCUCUGAGGGAAUAAGACAACUAUGCAGGCACUAGCUGCUUUUCUUAGCAAUGUCCUUGGAGAGAAGGGGCUCUGUGUUUGUAUUAACCUGGACCUUAUCUCUAUUAGCUAGCACUCAGGUUAAAAAAAAAAUACUAAUUAGAAUACAGUCAUGGUAAUGGGCGGUAUGUGUUCUUUGAGUUAAUAAACUCCCAGGCAGCAGGGAGCGGACCCUUCAUUUCCAGACUUCUUCACCACUUCACUUCACUGCUCUCUGCUCCUCCUGUCUGUCUGCUUACACUUUGUGUAACACUCUUAUGUGCCGCCUCCACAGGUAUUUCUCCACAGGUGUUCCUUUACAGUUAAUUAAUCAAUAAGUUAGAAAAAGACAUCAGAUAAAAAGUUACAUUCUUACUAUUCAACAAAAUUUUACAUUUUUGGGGGGGACUGGGGUUGUGGCUCAGUGGUAGCACCCUCGCCUAGCAUGCAUGAGGCACUGGGUUCGAUCCUCAGCACCACAGAAAAACAAAAUAAUGUGUCCACCUAAAACUAAAGAUACAUAAAUAAAUAAAUGUUUAAAAAAUUUC